AGGACGACCUGGCCGGGGGCGGGUGCGCGCUGGUGGUGCGCAAUACCGUCGACCGGGUGUUGGAAGCGGCUGCGGUCCUGC
rnacentral:tRNA from 1 species